rnacentral:lncRNA from 1 species
UAGAAGUGAAAUCUCACUAUGUCACCCAGGCUGGCCUCAAACUCCUGGGCUCAAGUGAUCGCCCUGCCUUAGCUUCCCAAACAUACAGGUGUGAGCCCCCACACCAGUCAACGCUGUGGUUUUAUGCACCUCGUGUCCCCCUACGCCCUGAGCAAUGAUCCUCCUGCUUCAACCUCCCAAAGUGCUGGGAUAACAGAUGUGAAGCAGCAUGUGUGGUCCACAUAGUAUUCUUACGGGUUAAAUUGAGUCCUCUUCAAAACAUGUUGAAAUCCUAAAUUCUAGGAGCUCAGAAUGUGACCUUAUUUAGAAAUACAGUUAUUGCGGGCCAGGCGUGGUGGCUCACGCCUGAAAUCCCAGCACUUUGGGAGGCCAAGGCGGGUGGAUCACCUGAGGUCAGGAGUUUGAGACCAGCCUGACCAACAUGGAGAAACCCCUUCUCUACUAAAAAUUCAAAAUUACCUGGGUGAGGUGGCGGCGCAUACCUGUAAUCCCAGCUACUCGGGAGGCUGAGGCAGGACUCCCCGACAAGUGCAGGAGGGAGCGUGGCCCUGCUGGCACGUCCGUUUCAGACUGCUGGCCACCAGAGCCACAGGACAAUCAAUUUCUCUGGUUUCAAGUCACCCAGCUUUUGGUACUUAGUUGUGGCAGCCCUAGGGAAUGAAUAUAAGUAUUUUCUCUUUUUUUUUUCUUUUUU